rnacentral:sRNA from 1 species
GAGGGUGUAGGUAUGUACCCUGGCCUCUGCCAGUCAGACUCACAUGCUAGGAGGAGCAGGGCCAGGCAGGAGAGCCGUGUCUCCUGGCAUUGGGGCUGUAGGAAAGAUGAGCUCCUAGGCCACAGUGCCAGUGGCCAGUGCUGCUGCCUUGCAGGGUGGCACAGGCAGUGCUGGCUGUUUGGACUGGCUUGGCAGAAGGAUUUGAAGUAUUGUUCCUAGCCAACUGGACUCAAACCUGUUCUUCCAACCCUCUAGGGAUUUUCUCAUCACCCAGUAGCCUUUUCCCCCUAGUUUUAAAAAUUGCAGUAAAAUACACAAAGAUAAAAUGUACUGCCUUAACGAUUUUUAAGUGUACAGUUCUGUGGUAUUGAGCACAUUUAUAUUGUGCACCCAUCACCACAUGCAUCUUCAAUAGCUUUUCAUCAGUCCUUGUCUGCAUAAAUCAGCUAGAGUUGGUUUCUAUUGAUUGCCGCCAAUAAUCUUAACAGAUAUGUCUGAUCUUCCUUCUCUGCACUGACUCCUCUUUCUCUGUCUCUUCUGCUGAUUCUUUCUCCUCAUCACAACUCCAAAUAGCAGGGGGAGGGUUGUUUACACUUACAUUCAGGACGCCGUCACCCACUCGCCUGGCUCUUCAGACCUCUCCCCUGAACUCCAGAUUCAUACAUCCAGCUGCCCUUUAGGCCUCUAGAAAACUAAAUACCUCAGUAUCAAAAACAUGAGAAACGAAAGUCAGAGUCCUAGAUCUCUCGCCCUUUCCCUGUCCCAGUGCACAUGCCCUUCAGGGAUGGCACCUAGACCAGCUCCCUGCAUCCCUGCCUAGACUCUGCAGUAGUCUCACGUGGCAGACCCAGAGGUCACUCUCCUCUCCAGAUGCCCUGCAGACACCCCAGUUAGCAGGCAGUGUCCAGCUGUUCCUUCAGCUGGCCUCAGCUGCAAGAGCCUCCUCACCCAAGGUCACGCCAUUCCCAGGACAGCACCCUGGUGACUGAGGGAGGGAAGAAAAGUCAGAAGACCAGGACCUCCAGGGCCUCAAGGACAAACCCCUCAAGUUUAAAAAGGUGAAGAAAGAUAAGAAAGAAGAGAAAGAGGGCAAGCAUGAGCCCGUGCAGCCGUCAGC